rnacentral:lncRNA from 1 species
UGAAAAUAAUAAUAUUGGUAUCAAAUCCAAUGUAGGAUCAUCUAAUUUUAUUUAUGCUAUUCAAGUAAAACAACAUGAACUUUGCCACAAAUUUGAUAGUUUUUUUUUUUUUUUAUUUCAAAGGUUCAAAUAGCUCGACUGAGCAGACAUGGAGCAAUAUGUAUGUAACGUAACUGUAGAUAUGUCGACAACAUAAAGAGAAAUAACUCAAUUCACCCUUGAGGAGUUUCGAAGCUCUGAGUAUGCACGGCAGCAACUCAGGAUUACCAGAUUGUGAUGCUGAUGCAUAAUAUAUGAAUGCUUAUCAUAGUUAUAAGUAUUUCAUUUUCCUGUUGUAAUGCUUGGACAUGUUUAAGCAUCCAAAGAGGCAUAAGCAAGCAGCACCUCAUUUUCUUCCAAUAGUGACAUGUCCAACUCUUUUAGGAUAAGAUGUGCAUAUAUUCCAUUACCAUCUUCCAUGUCUAUCAAUACCAAAAUGUUGGCAUUUUGCUCUGGAAUGAUUGCUGGGUAUACCAGCGAAGGUGUUCCCCAGCCAAAAUCAACACCAUAAAAUGGAAACCUACACCAGCUUGAGCACCCGUAGCAGUCAGAGUUGAUUGUUUCAAUUGCUGCUGUCGGCGAUGCUGAAUGGGAUGCUUUUAGCUUACUAGGAAUGGCAUUGAUGUUUUCUGUGCACUCCUUGCGCAAUUUUGUUUUGCCUUCCCUCAGUUUAUUAACUAACUCUGGUAAUUUAACUUCAGCAUUGUUGUCAACUGAUGUCAGGAAAUAGGUGGCAAAAUUCCCAACUGAAUUUUGUGGAAGUGGAGGGACAAUUAUUUGUCGAAAAUUCACAGCAUUAAAGAAGAUUGAUGGGCGGAUGUGUGAUCCCGAGUUUGCCUUUGAUGCUGCAGACAUAAAACAACUGUAAAGUAGGGCUGACACAACUUCAAACCGAGUAGGGUUUUCUACUCCUGAGUUAAGAGCAGCAGCCUUGAGUUCUCCAAUUUUAGAAGCAUGGAACGCCAAUAUCCUUUUCGCGUACUUCCCUUGAUCCGGCUUAGGAGGAAAUGGGUGUCGAUAUUGCUGACCGUCAACAGGGGGGAAUAGAGAAGCUCCGUGAAGAUGAGGAGAUGGGAUGUCACUCGUUUGACGAGCUAUUGCUGCCCAAUCAUUCAUGAAAGUUGAUACGCUGGAUGCAUCAGCAAUCCUGUGAUUUAUAGACACACUCAAUACUAUGCCUCCACAGUUGAAAGAACUGAGCUGAACAAAUACUAGACUACGAUGAUUAGCUGAGGCUGGCCCGGAGAAUAGAGAUCUAGCAAAGAUAAGAUCUUGCACUUUUUCAGAACUUGAACUUAAUUGCUUGCGAAUCUCAGCCACUCGAGAAUUAAUUCGGCCUUCAGUAAAUUGAGCGCCCAUGUCGUUGCAAUCAAUCAUAUAGCCGUUUUUCAUCAGCCUUCCGGCGAAAGGGUAAUACUGGGCAAGAGCUUUUGAGAGAGAACUUUUAAGCAGUUGUGAUAUUUCAUUGGCAAGCCAACGAGUUCCCUUAAUAUUAGCAUAGAAGAAAGCCAACCGGAUCCGAUAGUUUGGUGGCAUUGCUUGAUCUACCGAUGAGAGCUUGUGGUAUCUCAAAGGAGGAGGAGUGGGUGAGGAAGGCUUGAUGACUGUUUCAGAAAUUAUCUCAAACUGCAGCGAGGCAUCCAUCCUGAUGAAUAUUUGCUUGAAUGUAGGCCUAUAUGUCUUAUCAAUAAGCUUGUGCUGGCUUUGCUAACCUAUUACCCUUUUAUAGUGUGGUGAACAAUGGCAUUGUGUUUUAGGUAUUAACCUAAAAUACCUGUACUUGGAAAAGUUACACAUCUCUUAGUACACUGUCUUCCGAAAUACCAAUUUCUUUUAAAGUCUCUCCCUAUGGUACAAUUGUUUUACAGUCACUAAAAUACAAAAUUCAUCAUUACUUGAAUAGGAAAUGAUUAUUUAUCAAAACUAACCUAAUUAUUAUCAAAAUUAUUUAUCACUUGAAUUGGACUGUUGGACAAACUAGUACCAAGAAAGAUACAAAAAAAUUUCAGAAUUUUUUAAACCUUACCCAUCCGGUGCUAAAAAAAAAAAGAAUCUUUUUAAAAUAACUUUCUCUAUCUCCGUUUGGACUAGGGCUGCAAACGAGUCGAGCCGAAUCGAGUUUUGAGCUAAUCGAGCCGAGUCUCGACUAAAUUUUACCAAGCUCGAGCUCGAGCUCGAGCUCGACGAGCCAACAAUUUUCAAGCUCGAGCUCGACUCGAAUCAAGUCGAGUCGAGCUCGAGCUCGAAAAAAAUAAAAAAUAAUUAUUUUAUUUUUAAAAAAGUAAAUAAAAUAAUAUUUUUUUCUUAAUAAAUAAUAAAAUAUUAAGGAUAUAUAAGUAAUUUUACUAUGAAAAUAAAAAAUAUAUAUAUAUAAUAUACGUAAUUUUAUUAUUAAAUAAAAAUAAUAUAUCUAUAUAUAUAUAUACUCAAGCUCGCGAGCCGGGCUUAAUAUUCUGAGCUUGAGUUCGAGCUCGAGUUUGACUCGAGCCCCUCGCGAGCGGCUCGAUUCGUUUGCAGCCCUAGUUUGGACCCAGCACAUAUAUGAUUUUUUUUUUUCUCUUUUUUGGUUAAUCCCAGAUGGGGUAGUUUAGUAAAAUGUAGGAGGGCAAAAACCUGACCGCCAAUCGUAUGUAUAUGAGGCCUACACAUGAUUAAGAUCAUUGCUAUAUUCGUUGAGGAUGUAGAGAGUUAUAUGGGGCAAACUUAUUAGUAUAAACUUUAGUAGUGGGAGUCUUUUUGGUAUUGUUCUAAAAUUCCUAUCAAUUUUGUACAUUUGUGAUCAAUUUAAUAUCAGAUUUUAUAUCAUAUUGGCUGUUGCUCCAAAUAUAUUGUAGUAGGAAUAGAAUUUUUCAUAAGAAGUAACGAUCAAAAUUCCCUAAAAAAAAAAAAGCGAAGCAGAUUUCCUUUCUCCAUAUAAAAGUACUGUUUUUUUUAAUAAAAAAAAAUUGUUGUAAUCAAGUUGCUUACUAACUUGCUAUUGAUAUCAAAUGUAUUACCAAAAUAAACAAGAAGUUAUCCACAACAAUCGCCCCUCCUGGGCAGCUCGUUUGGUCACGACAGUCUCUUGAAAGUCGUUGUCCAGCUCUCCCACCAAGGAUCGAGUCCCAGUGAUUACCGUGUUCGGGGGAAGAAGCCUCUCCUCCCGGGUCGGAGUGGGAUUAGUCGGAUCCCGUAAGGAUUGACCCGGACAUUCAUUCCGUCAGGAAAAAAAAAAAAAAAACACAACAAUCAUUGUGCAGAAAGGAUCGACUAUAGCGUAAUUUCCAGCAACUUGGGGGGUCUAUUGUUUUGUUAGGUACCUCGUGGGAAAUUGGUGGCGUUCAAUUAGUUAACCUUUGCAGGUUGGCAAGACAUAAAGGUUGCGAGUUUAGCUUACGGUCUCGUUUGUCACCUUCAAACUUUAAAAAAUCUCGCUUAUCUCCUUUAUUUUAAGCUUUUUAUAUCAUUUACAACUCAUUUUAAAAUAUAAUAUUAAAAAAUUCAUUUUGGAAGAGUAAAUAUACUCUCAUUCCAAAUUUGUUUUUUUGUUGUCUUUCUUUUUAUUCCCAAAACAGUAAGUAUAUUAUUAACAAAUAAAAACAAAAACAAAAUGUAGGAAUGUUUAUUCUGAUUGGACAAAAUAUAGUGUAUUUUUUGAAUACCAAAAGUCAAUAUUUUAAAGUUUAUUUGAAAUUUUUGCAAGUUAUAAAGAUAAUAUUUUUUUUACUGUAAGUGUUUUGAGUUAAUUUAAGAAGUUUUGUAAAUCUUUUGCAUAUUUUUUAUUUUUCUAAUUUUUUUCCAAGUCAAUGGUUUGCAAAGUAAAAGGAUACAACAUCAUAAAAUUAUUUAUAAACUUGUUUGUGUUUUUUUUUAAGCUGAUGCACAAAGGUAUUCUUGUAGUUGUAAAUUAUUACUAGUUAUUUUUUAAGAAUAUUAUAAAUCAUUUAUAAAUUUAAGUAAUUAGCAUUUUUUUGUUCGAACCAAUGACACAAAAACAUUAAAGAGGUUUUCAAUCUUACAGACUACUUUUUUUUAAAGGACUACAUCGAUCAAUUUACAAAAGUUAGGAGAUAAAUUUGAUGUAUUGUGAUAAUUAAGAAAUCACACGAAAAGGGAAAAUUUGGAGUGAAAUUGGAUUCUCUUUUCCAAAAUGAAAAUUUUAAUAUUAUAUUCUAAAACGGGUUUUAAAUGCUACAAAAAGUUUAAAGUAGAAGAGCCAAGUAAGAUUUUUCAAAAGUUAAGAGCGUCGAGUGAAAAUGUAAGACAACUCAAGACACGUUUCUGAAAGUAUGGUAAUAUUACAAACACAUGGUAACACCCACGGCGCAACUAUGAGUUCUAUGAUAAAAAGCUAAAUCACAAACGCACGGUUCAAACCAGUAUAUUAAGGAAGACAAGAAAUCAGUAGGGAAGAAAAAAAGAAACUUACCUUUGAAGACGAUCCCCUCCUAGAAGGACACGGGUCCAACCAGUAUACUGAGGAAGACAAGAAAUCAAUAAAAAGCUAUACUCAUUACCAAGAACGUACACGCAUUCAUUAACCCAGUCUGAAGGAAUGCAUGCAUGCAUCAAAAUCAGUCGGCAACAAGGUCCCCCCACUAUAACUUCUUGGUAAUGCAUCAAAAUCAGUCGGCAGCAAGGUCCCCCCACUAUAACUUCUUCGUACGACCACCAUCCAGCGUUUCAACUCUAGCAACUAACGUUCCUAAAUGAUGAUCGAUGGUCAAAUUUUGAAUUGGAAGCAAUCCAAGGGUGCACAGAUGGCUGGACCAAUUUCCACGAAGUUCACGCGUAGCUAACAGAACAAAGGACCACCAAGUUGCUGGAAAUUAUGCCAUAAACAGUACACAUUCACUGUUCAUAAGGCAACUCACACUUUCUUUCAGCAUAAUGAUAGAUAGACUAGUUUUGCCUUCCCGGAAUGCGUCUGGUACCUAGAUUCGUUAUUUUGCUGCUGUGUCAUGUUUGUGCGUGUGUUUUUUCCUCAUUAUACGGAGAAACAAGACCUUUGAAAUCAGGUUAUCUAACAUUCUUAAUAUAGCAUUAAUUAUUGCAGCUUAACGUUGGACUUAGACUGUUAAAUAAUAUUAAAUUCAAUUAAAGUGAUCAAUCAUACUUUGAACUUUAAUGUAUCUAAUAGGAUGUGGUUCUUUAUUUAAGGGUAAUUUAUAUUUCUAUGAUGGGUUGAAAUAGGAAUCUAAAAAAUAAUAGGAAAGUUAUCUAUAAAUAGAGUUAUAAUCCCCGAGUCACACACGUAUUCCUAAAUAGGGUUAUGUUUAGUGGUUUUUUUUUUUUUUUUGCAUUAGUAGGUUUGGAUGC